GUAGGGAAUAUUGCUCAAUGGGCGAAAGCCUGAAGCAGCAACGCCGCGUGCGGGAUGAAGAUCUUCGGAUCGUAAACCGCUUUUGUGAAGGACGAGAAAGGACUGUACUUCAAGAAUAAGUCUCGGCUAACUACGUGCCAGCAGCCGCGGUAAUACGUAGGAGACAAACGUUAUCCGGAUUUACUGGGCGUAAAGCGCGUGCAGGCGGUUUGGUAAGUUGGGUGUGAAAUCUCCUGGCUCAACUAGGAGAGGUCGCUCAAUACUGCCAGACUAGAGGACGGUAGAGGGAGGUGGAAUUCCCGGUGUAGUAGUGAAAUGCGUAGAUAUCGGGAGGAACACCUGUGGCGAAAGCGGCCUCCUGGGCCGUACCUGACGCUCAGACGCGAAAGCGCGGGUAGCGAACGGGAUUAGAUACCCCGGUAGUCC
rnacentral:rRNA from 1 species